rnacentral:misc_RNA from 1 species
AAGUCGUAACAAGGUUUCCGUAGGUGAACCUGCGGAAGGAUCAUUAACACGUUAUCCACGUAUCAUCACAGAGAAUCGUUAUUCACUCCCUCCGUUUCAUACCGAACAGCAGCAGAUAGCCCGAAGGGAUGACGCUUGAUCGAAAGGUCGCGUAAGGACUAUUUGUUAUUCCAAGCUGACGGGCUGCCUGCUUUUGGCAGGUGGCUCCGAGUGCUAGUACUGUUGUAAUUUGACUCGUGGAGGACCACUCUCGCUGCAGUAACACUUCACCCUGUGGUAAGGCAGCGAAAACUUAUUAACAAAUUUUAACCACAAUUUUGCUAGUUGACUUUUAAUAUGUUGUGCUUUGCUUCGGCAAUGGUACACACGUUUAAAUUAUUUGAACGUUAAAAAUACAACUCUUAGCAAUGGAUAUCUAGGUUCUC